rnacentral:rRNA from 1 species
GGGGGGGCCAAUCUGCCAGUCGAGCGAGCUUGCCUAGAUGAUUUUAGUGCUUGCACUAAAUGAAACUAGAUACAACCCAUCGGCGGACGGGUGAGUAACACGUGGGUAACCUGCCCACUAGACUGGGAUAACACCUGGAAACAGAUGCUAAUACCGGAUAACAACACUAGACGCAUGUCUAGAGUUUGAAAGAUGGUUCUGCUAUCACUCUUGGAUGGACCUGCGGUGCAUUAGCUAGUUGGUAAGGUAACGGCUUACCAAGGCAAUGAUGCAUAGCCGAGUUGAGAGACUGAUCGGCCACAUUGGGACUGAGACACGGCCCAAACUCCUACGGGAGGCAGCAGUAGGGAAUCUUCCACAAUGGACGAAAGUCUGAUGGAGCAACGCCGCGUGAGUGAAGAAGGGUUUCGGCUCGUAAAGCUCUGUUGGUAGUGAAGAAAGAUAGAGGUAGUAACUGGCCUUUAUUUGACGGUAAUUACUUAGAAAGUCACGGCUAACUACGUGCCAGCAGCCGCGGUAAUACGUAGGUGGCAAGCGUUGUCCGGAUUUAUUGGGCGUAAAGCGAGUGCAGGCGGUUCAAUAAGUCUGAUGUGAAAGCCUUCGGCUCAACCGGAGAAUUGCAUCAGAAACUGUUGAACUUGAGUGCAGAAGAGGAGAGUGGAACUCCAUGUGUAGCGGUGGAAUGCGUGGAUAUAUGGAAGAACACCAGUGGCGAAGGCGGCUCUCUGUUCUGCAACUGACGCUGAAGCUCGAAAGCAUGGGUAGCGAACAGGAUUAAAUACCCUGCUAGUCCCAUGCUG